ensembl:lncRNA
AUCUUAAAGCAUCAAAACAUAGCAAGAACUCAUCCGAUAAACUUGGAGAGUACUGAUCUAAUCCACUGUCCUCACAAGUGUCAAGACUGUUGGAUUCGCACCGGCUGAGGCACAGAAAACAUCUGAAGAAAAUGAAGGCCGUCAUGAUUUUCGGGCUCCUCUUCGCUGUAGUCUACUGCCGUCCUGUAAAACGCUCAGCAAGCAGCUCAGAGAGCUCUGAGGAACAGGCAGUUGCCAAACUGCCACUCCCAGUUCUUGAUAAAGGCCCUGCAGAUCCACUAAAGGCAGCACCUGCACAGGACUUGAAAGCAGCCGUAGUAGCAGCAGCAUCUGACGAGGACACUGACGAUUCAGAUGAAACUGAGGUAAAAGGCCACUCAUCCUCCUGACCACAUGAGUCACCACUGCAUUCACUUAUUUCCUAAUAAAAGCAACCCACUUCCAAAAAUAAGGCUCUUUUUGUCUGGACGCACUGUGGGUGUAUGUGUCAGUAACUCUCACUGUCUUUGACUGUUUCCUUCAUUUCCAGGACAAAAACACAGAAUCAGACACAGAGGGAGACAGUGCAGACAGCGCAGACACGCAAGACACGCAAGACACUGUGAGUCAAGCUUUACCACACAUGCUGUUAUAACACUCUCACACACAGAUGUAACUAAGGAU